GGCAGUGUGACUGGCUGAGAAGGAAAAACUCAUGAGAGUGGACAAAAUCAGGCCACUAUGACUUCACAAGAGCUAAGAAAAAAGGAAAAUAUUGUUGAUUAAGAUCUUCCAUCGCUUCUUGACUCACCCUCAUUUGUAACCUGGAGAUGGACAGCACCGUGCUCAGGCGUGCACCCGCCCCCACAAUCAAUCCUGGCAACUAGAAUCCAG
rnacentral:lncRNA from 1 species